CGACACAACGUCGAGAGACCGACAGAAAGGGAAAAGCUAUUGUUUCCUUACCAUGCACAUGCUCAGGGAAUUGAAUCCUUCAUAUGCUCGAAUCACAGCCUGAAAGAGUGGAAACCCACAUAAAAAACAGAGCAAGGAAAACAAAGAGCUUGCCAUCAGAAAAAGGGCGUUAUUCUUUAAACGCUACGUGCUCUUGGGCUUCGGCUGUCCCAAUUUUUCAACCCCACACACCAUGGCUAUGCUCCAAAAUCUGCCUAGUAGGCAUCAUUUUAAGACGUGAUUAUGCUACAUUCUAAAAUAACAUAUUUUUAUUUGGCAUAUUUGCCUUUAUCCAACAGAGGAAAUCAUUGCGAUUAGCUUUACAAAUCUAUCAAAUAUGUAUCUACCUGUUUCUGUGGUCCAGCUCCAGUUGGACAGUUCUCAUAGUUGAGUUGACUGUACCUUGGGAAGAGGCCAUUAACGAAGUAUUUGAAAGAAAGACUCUCUGGUAUGCCAACUUGGCAGCGGAGGCCAAAGAUCGCGGAUGGACAGCGAAAGUGUUCCCGUUGGAAGUGGGCUGAGGGGCUUUGUUUCCAAUUCCACUACAAGCCUGCUUAAGGAAAUGGGGAUCAGAGGACAGGCCCAACGGACGGUAGUCAAAGAACUUGCCACUGUCGCUUAGAGAAGCAGCCACUGGCUGUGGUGAAACGGAAGGAUGCAAUAUGGGCUGCCAAGUGACCACGUAAUAAAAUGGCGUUGUGUGUUGUAUUGUUAUGCCAUACGGGACCGGGGGCACUGAGCUUGCAUUAACAGAUCCAGUGGGGCUAUAACAGCCUUAGCCAACGUGUUGGCACAUAUGGUUGAGUUUAUAUUUUUGGUCAUUUUUUGUAAUGUUAUGCCAUAUGGGAAAGGGGGAACUGAGCUUGCAUUAACGGAGCUAGUGGGGCUACAACACCCUUAGCCAACGGGUUGGCGCGUAUGGUUGUGUUGAUUUUGAUAAUGUGUUCUAAUGAUAUGCGAUACGGAUCCGGGGGACUGAGCACACAUUAACGGUUUGAGUAGUCGUGACCUAAUGGUUAGAGAGUCUAACGCGUGACCAGAAGGUUGUCGGUUCGAUUCUCAGGGCCGGCGGGUAACGACUGUGGUGCCUUUGAGCUGCAGUUAUAGCUGCCCACUGCUUCUGCCAGAUGGCCUUGUAGCAAUGCGAAACACACCCAGGUCUGAUCAACCUGUAGUGGGCCUCCCUUGGCUGAGGGUGUCUUGUGAUUACGUCUGAAACACCCAAUUUGGCUGAGGUGCACAACUGACAAUGUGUCGCAUUGAUGGGAACCAUACAAAGGGCAUUAUCAGCAGCACCUCACCAAAAGGCAUCUUUCACUCAAGAUAAUGUGAUGAAAUUGGGACGCACAACUCAUGAGAUGUCUCUCUGAUAAUGGCAAGGAAAGGUAAGUAUGCUAUGUUAUUCUAUAAUCAUUUAUGCCCUAACACAGAGGAUGCCUACCCGACGAUCCAGUGAAACCUCAAACCUCCUUUCCUCUAUUCAUAUUCUUGACUGCUUCCCCCUGCAUAAGGCGUGGGAAAUGUUCUAUUGGGCAAUUCAACUGUGCUGAAACUGUGGCAUUAUAACAACUAGUCCUAUUGAAUCUGACAAAUCUAUCAAAGAUGGAGGAUAAAGUGAGAGUCAUUAUAAUCAUUUCAUUGACAUUUAAGCCUCUGAUAAUAUGUUAAUAUACCCACUUUCUAUUGGCAGGUAAGAGCAGAAACAUGGCUUUAUGCAUUUGGCAGCCUCCCAAAGGGUUAAUGGUUCUUGGAAGAAUCGAUUCGUAAAGCAUCAGGGUGAUACGUGAUGAAGUGCGCAAUCCGGAAGAGACGAGGAAACACAGAAAACAUGACCCUCGAGGAAUGAGACUAACUAACUGUCCCUUGCAAGGCUUGCAGCAAUAAUGAAAAGCCAUCCUGAGAGCCCCUCUAAGACACUAUAUAAAUCACUCCUGCUACUCCAAACGAGGCACCACGCUGCCCCAUAGCGAGGGAGAGAGAGAGACAGAGAGAGGGAGACAUGCAUUAUUUACCAACAGAAACUGCAAUAUCAACUUCUUUUUGCCGUCCCGGAUCCGUUUGAGCUGCAGUUGUAAGGUGCCAAUUGUAAAAUGACCGGGAAGUUGUGGAGAGAGAAAUGCGAGAGGAGGGCGACAGAUCACUAAAUCAGCUCAGCACUUAAGAGUGUACAGUUGUCUGGAUGAACGCUUAGUGUCUUUGUUUAUCUUCUACAACAAGUUGAGGGAGGCUGACCAGCAGGCUAUUACUUUAUGUCAGAUGUCCUAAGUGCCACUUCUGCAAUUUCAAAGUAAAACAAAUCAGACAGUCUACAGAUCCAUGGAACAAACUUUUGGCCCAUGAGGAAAAAAAACAACAGGAUUGUCAUUUCAGCUCAAGUAUAACAGAUAGCCUUUUGUUCUCUUCGUUUCUGUUUCUAUCUCUCUUUCAAACCUCCCUACUUAUGUGCCUGCAUUGUGUUUUGCUUUAAACCGAACAGAUCCCAUGGAAAAAGUGUAAAUUCUGUGUAUUUUACUGUAAAAAAUGUACAGUAUGUAGACUAUAGAAUUAGAAUAUUUAUUGUUAAUUAACAUCACAGUAAAGCUAUAGAUGAAUCUAAA